CAUAUACUCCCUCCGUCCGGAAAUACUUGUCAUCAAAAUGGAUAAAAGGGGAUGUAUCUAGACGUAUUUUAGUUCUAGAUACAUCUCUUUUUAUCCAUUUUGAUGACAAGUAUUUUCGGACGGAGGGAGUAUUUC
rnacentral:pre_miRNA from 1 species